AAGCCUCUCCGUCCAUUUCAGCUCUGAUUCCAGACCAUAUGCGAGCCCCAGGCUUGUAGAAACAGAGAGGAUAACAGGCCACUGCCCUCCAGGUCACUGCUCAAGAAGACAGAGAGCUGAAAUUAUACCCUUUUCAGAUGGUCGUGUCGGGAAUGUAGGGACCUGACGGCAUGGCAGAGUCACCAUCUCAACCUCAGAGUCUCUACAGGGACGUCAUAGCUGUGGGGAGAGAAGAGGACUUCAACCAGAACUUGCUGUAGCCCAGGGCAGGUCCUGUGUGGCUGCAGGGCCUCCACGCGACAAGACCCUAAUGGUGAGGAGAGACUCUCUUGCUACUCGGCGGGUCUUGCUGGACUGGCACCAUUGGCCUCACCUGGGGCUUCUGAGAAAUGCAGACUCUCAGGCCCACCUGGACUUACUGACCGGAAUGUGCACUUUAACUGGAUCCCCAGCCCAUCUCAUCUGAACCCUCAGUGCUCUUCAUGUCUGUGCCAGAGAAACAUAAGAUUUAAGAGCUUACUAAUCACCAGAUGCUCUGCUGCUCUUUACAUCCACGAGACAGAUUCUUUCACUGUCAGCAUCUCCAUCACACAGAGACAAAAGCAGACCUGGAUUAGGAGGAAGUCUGCUGGCAGCUACCCAGCAGAUGCGAGGGCAGCAGUUGGGGUCCAGUGUGUGUUUGCUGGGCCCCCGGGCCAUUCGCUCAAUUUUAGGUCUACAGUCGCAUGUGAUCAAUGCUCUCCACCGGUGCCCUGGCUGACGUCCCCGGUUAUUUCUCAGUUGACAGAUUCCUCCGAAGGACGGCCCAGGACUCGUCUCCUGUGCCGGCCCUGCACCGUGUCAGCUUUGUGAACUGCGUUCCAGGAUGUCCUUUGCCGGUGAGGGUUAGGUUGGUCACGCGAGAAAUCUGCAUGAGAGUUUGGACGGCAAGUGAAGCAGCAGCUGAUCCAAUGCUCUAAAGGCUGAUGUGGGGUGCCGGGCACGACAGCCACUCCAGUAUAGGAAGCAUCAUUUAGGUCCCAAUGGACCUUCUCCUGCAGCUCCAUGACACAGGGCCCACGCUUCUCCCACAGUCCAGCUUUCCUUCCAAUCUGCUGGCCUGAAGGAUCUAAAGAGGCUUAAGGUCCAAACCAGAUGCACGAGCAACAGCCUUGCACAGCUUCCUCCACCUGCAGCCACAAGUGUGAAAGGUCCAAUCCUGAUAAGGAAUCUGUUCUGUAGUGCUCCUAGUCUUUCUGCUUCUGUGAUCACACCCUGACUUCCCACCUGCACGUAUCAAAGGCAGGUCUCAGAAGGGGCUCAAAUGUCAACCAUCCACAUGAAGCUCGAUCCUGCAGCUGCAGGAGUCAGCAGAUAAUUGUGGCCCUGGGAAACAAAGAUGUGCAGGGCUCCAGUUGAAUGAUCGCACUCUCACUGCUCUUCACUCCUGACCUUGCACGUUUCUGUUCCAUAUCACUGCCAGCAUCUUGAAGGCAGGUCCUGGGUCUCCUUAGUCUCCAUCCAUCCCCAGUUUCCACACAGUGCCUAACAUAUAGCAGCUGCCAGAUUAACACUGUUGGCUAUUAGCCUCUCUUCCUCAACUUCCCCCUCCUUGCCCCAAAGCUACUGAGGCCCAUGAGAUCUUCUUCACCUGCUUUGAAAGGAAAGGAGAACCGUCCAUCAGACCUGGAGGGCUUUUGGAUCCUAACGAAACACUUAGUGUGUCCUGUCCUAACGGUAACGGAUGCAGCACAGACACCGGAGAGCGGGGAUAAUAUAUUCUGUGCAGUAACUGAAAAACAAAAUAUUUAUUGCAAAGUUUUUUAAAGCGUCAUUCUACUUGCAAAUGUUGUACCGCAGACAUAUGUCAGCUGAGUGUGCCUCUGGCACAAAGAACACAAGUAAACAGAAAUAUUUUAAUUUGAGCUACAGUACGCACCCCAUCUGACAGCUUUAUGAUGGGUUGCAUGGCUUCCAUAUGCUGUGGGUGAUGACGAAGCUGUCUACCUUCACUCCAACCAGGGAAAGCAAAGCAGUGGGGGAAGGAAGAGAGCAUGCAUUAAGCACCUACUGUAUGCCAGUUACUGAGUUGAGUGAUUUGAUUUUCAUUUUAGUAAACAUUCACAAGGGCUCUAAGAGAGGACAUUGUCACCAUUUACAUUUGGGAAAACAGGCUCAGACAGGAUGAACAACUCGUCCAAAUCCACACAGCUCAUGAUUUGCGGCAGUGGAAUUUUAUCUCAGAUGUAUUGAGUGAUAAAGCCAUUAUUUAUUUCACUUUUGCACAGAAAUAAAUAGGCUGCUCUUGGCAGGCAGAUGAGAUAAAGAAAGUUACAGCACAUUCAGUGAUGGCAUCACUGUGUUUCUGUUCCUCCAGGGCAGCCUGUUACAGCGGCUAGAGGAGGAGACGACUGAGAAGGGGUCUCCAGCACGUCUCCCUAGGACUCCAGGCAGGGAAAAGAGAAGGACAUCUCCUCGCUCUCUUCUCCAGAGAGAAGGCGUGUCUUGUCCAAGGCAGGGGCUUGGGAAAGACGAGACUCACAAGGAUGGGACAGCCCAGGCCAGCUUAGGCAGGUGGACGGCGGGGGCUUUGGACGGGCCUCACCACAUUUGAGUGCUGGCUCUACCCCUCACUGCAGACCUUAGACCAGCCAUGUGGCCGCCAGGGCUCCAGCCUCUUCACCUGCAAAGUGGAACCCUCCCCACUGGGUUUCUCUGAGGAGCACGGAGGUCACUGGAUGUACACUGUGCACAUGGACAGCACUGAAUGAGCAUUAACUGCCUCUGCUUUCAACCCCAAGGGGGUCCCAGAGCAGGAGAUGGCAGCAAGGAGCCCGCGCAACAUCAGCAGAUGCUGGUGGGAAGGAAGCUGCAGCCUCUGCAGAAAGCUGUCUUGUCUUGGGGUCACGGUUGGACCCUGUCUGUGGACUAACAGCUCAGACCCACCUUGGGCCCAUCCAGCUGCACUGACGCCCUGCUCUGCUCCAUCCUCGGGCCCCGAGCCAAAGCCCUCAUAAUCCAUGCCCCAGGGAGACGUCGUCCACAGCAAACCGCUUCUCCUCUUUGUCUGACCCGAGGCUUGUAGCUUUUUAUUUAUCUUACACACCAAAAAGCUUCAAGAUAAAUUCCUUUCCAGGUUAUUAUUGCAUUCUUAUCUCAGAAACCUGUUUGCAUCUCCCCUUUCUGCUUAUUCUUGGAAUAUUAAGGGUUCUUACCCCGGGAUUUAGGAAAUUCACGAACUCUUGAAAGUAAAUGUAAAGUUUAGUCUGUGUGUGGGGUGUGUGUGUGUGUGUGUGUGUGUGUGUAGUAUUUCUGGGUGGGGGAGCUUCAUAGCUUUCGCCAGGUUUUCAGGAAGAAAGCAACACUGCUUUAGAUGGUCUAUUCUAUUAAA